AGGCGGAUAGCUCAAGGGCAGAGCGCCUCUAUACACACAGAGGAGGCUGCAGCGUUCGACUCCUGCUCCGCCUACCA
rnacentral:tRNA from 1 species